AGAGUUUGAUCCUGGCUCAGAUUGAACGCUGGCGGCAGGCCUAACACAUGCAAGUCGAGCGGAAACGAUGGGAGCUUGCUCCCAGGCGUCGAGCGGCGGACGGGUGAGUAAUACGUAGGAAUCUGCCCAGUAGUGGGGGACAACUCGAGGAAACUCGAGCUAAUACCGCAUACGCCCUACGGGGGAAAGCAGGGGAUCUUCGGACCUUGCGCUAUUGGAUGAGCCUACGUCGGAUUAGCUUGUUGGUGGGGUAACGGCUCACCAAGGCGACGAUCCGUAGCUGGUCUGAGAGGACGACCAGCCACACUGGGACUGAGACACGGCCCAGACUCCUACGGGAGGCAGCAGUGGGGAAUAUUGGACAAUGGGGGAAACCCUGAUCCAGCCAUGCCGCGUGGGUGAAGAAGGCUUUCGGGUUGUAAAGCCCUUUCAGUAGGGAAGAGGCGAUUCGGUGCUAAUACCACCGGAGAGUGACGGUACCUACAGAAGAAGCACCGGCUAACUCCGUGCCAGCAGCCGCGGUAAUACGGAGGGUGCGAGCGUUAAUCGGAAUUACUGGGCGUAAAGCGCGCGUAGGCGGCUUUGCAAGUCGGAUGUGAAAUCCCCGGGCUCAACCUGGGAACUGCAUUCGAAACUGCAAAGCUAAAGU
rnacentral:rRNA from 1 species